AAGGCUGAUUUCCUCAGCUGUUGUAUAAACCCAUCAGCUGAGAGUUUUAAAUAAUAAUAAAAAAAUCCUAUCAAAUACCAUUUGAUUAACUGCCCCCCGACCCCAUAAAUACACCCCCACCCGCCUCGGCGCUACUGAAAAUGAUUGGUAGUUUGUUACCUGUGCUGGUCUCUGACUUGUGCAAAGCGUGCUGCUUCGUGCGGGCAGAAAUCCCUCCUCGCCGAGGGAAGAGGGGACUCUGAAUUCCCAGCCAGCGGCUUCAGGAAGUCCGCCGAGGCUUAGUUUUGCUCCUUUUACUCUUCCCCGCCUGUCUUUUCUGUUUUCCCGUGGAAGGAGAACAGUUAGCUAUUUGUGUCUUCCAGCCUUUACGUACGGAGAACGGCCUCAGGCGCUCCACACGCGUGCUUACAGCAGAUGACAAUACACUACUUUUUCUUCUUCACUUAAACUUACUGGCUGUAUUCCUAUGAAGGGUAUAACAGCAGGGAACGCUGCAAAAGUUUCAGUUUGAAGUUGUUUAAAAUAGUCUAUUCUAAACAGUCUAUUCUGAAUAGUCUAUUCUGUUCUAAAGGUAUUAGACAGCUGUUUUAUCUGAUCUCUGAAAAUACUGUGUUUCCAUUUUUGUGGACCUUGGUAUGAGCCUUGCAUUUCACCGAAACAACAGAAAUGUGUCAUUGUUUCAGUUGUAAAAAGUGCUAAUACAGAUUUUAAUACUUAAUGUUGAAGCUGGUUUUAGAGUGGCAGAUGAAAUUCAGGUAUGAGUUAUGCUAAUACCGAUCAAAUGAAUUCAAUGAAUGUGUGAAAGUAGAAAGCUGUUUGCAUAUGUAUUUAGAACAUCAUGUUUGGGUCCUCUUUGAAGUUAUUGAAGUUUAGCGGGGAGGUGGGGAGAGGGGAAGGAAACAGCAAAUGAUAUAUUGAGACCCUUUAGGAUUUUCAGUUCUCUCAAAAUCUGUGCAAGACAUUCAGAAUCCUUUUACAAGCAGAAAACCAUUGAUUCUUAAAUGAAACUUCUGGUCAGGAAUUGAGCAUUGGUCUUAACUAAGAAACAGUUCAGUGU
rnacentral:lncRNA from 1 species